UACGAAGGGGGCUAGCGUUGCUCGGAAUCACUGGGCGUAAAGGGUGCGUAGGCGGGCUUUUAAGUCAGGGGUGAAAUCCUGGGGCUCAACUCCAGAACUGCCUUUGAUACUGAAGAUCUUGAGUUCGGGAGAGGUGAGUGGAACUGCGAGUGUAGAGGUGAAAUUCGUAGAUAUUCGCAAGAACACCAGUGGCGAAGGCGGCUCACUGGCCCGAUACUGACGCUGAGGCGCGAAAGCGUGGGGAGCAAACAGG
rnacentral:rRNA from 1 species